GUUCAUAGACAUCGAUCAGAACAACCCGCAUGCUGGUGUUUCCCGCUGGGUUCGCUGCUGUCACGUGGCCCCGCGCAUAUUUCCACAUUUAUGCAAACUUAGCGCACAACGCUGACAUCUGCUGGUAAGGAACCGGAGGAGCGUGCAGGUUCGCGUCCCAGAGUGUCAUUCAGCCCCAGAACCGGACAACUGGGAUGAUGAUGAGGAGGAGGAGGAGACAGCUGAAGUAAAGAAAACAGUCAGAGUGGUCAAAGCAGCCUGGAGAUCUCACUCCAGAGGAGCAGCUGGCUGAGAAGCUGCAAGUGAAGAAACUGCAGGAGGAGUCUGACCUGGAGCUGACCAAAGGAGGCCUUUGAUGAGAGCAGAGAGGCUCGGAGCGUCCUGGGGCUCCAUGUGGAUUCAGCUUACGUGGCACGUGACAGCGUUCCAUGGCUAUAUGCUAAUCUCUAUGCAGAUACAGACCAGGAUGUACAGAUUUCGUGCAUUAUUUUCUUCUUUGCCAGUACUAAACUCUGUGUUUGGAUGUUGAGAUGGAUGGAUGGAUGAAUGGAUGGAUGAAAGAAAAGAUACUGAAGAACACAGGUUUCUUAGUAUAGCUCUUAAAUGCUCACUCAGACUGAGCAAAUGGACAUGGAUGGAUUUAUAACAAAAAAAAAAACCCAGAGGAGUGUGAGGACCUUCCAGAACACUCCCCUGACAUUGUGAUGCCUUGUAAGCAUCAUAAGUUUUGAGUAUUAUAGUGCUUAUACAAAUGGAGUUUGUUUUAUUUUCUUUUGUUUAAAGCAGGGGUGGGGAACCUGACCCAUGGAGGGCUGCAGUGGGUGGGGGGGUUUGGGAUCACCUCUCAAUCAGCCAAUGACAGUGGGUCCCCAGGACUAGAGAUAAGUACCACUGCUUUAUUAUUGGCUGAUUGAGAGCUCAUCCCAAAACCCCCCACCUCACACACCGGCGCUCCAUGAAUGAGGUUCACCCCCCCCCCCAAUUUAAACCUACACUUAUAUUCCCAUACACCUGCCUUGCCAAAUGGCACACAUCCACGAGGAAAUGAUCAAAAAAGGGGUAUGCAUGCCCAGUGUAAUUAUGUAAACGUGUCAUUUUAGUAGGGAUUUGUCCAGAAUACAAACACUCGAUUCCUGCUCAGUGUAAUAAAUAUCCCAUUAUUUACAGUU